rnacentral:lncRNA from 10 species
UUUUUAUGGCUGCAUAGUAUUCCAUGGUGUAUAUGUGCCACAUUUUCUUAAUCCAGUCUAUCGUUGUUGGACAUUUAGGUUGGUUCCAAGUCUUUGCUAUUGUGAAUAGUGCCGCAAUAAACAUAUGUGUGCAUGUGUCUUUAUAGCAGCAUGAUAUUAAAUACCAUGAAAAUGUACAUAGUUGUUUUAGUGGAUAUCCCCAAAAAUAUAAUGUGGUACCAAUUCCCAAAGUCUAGAUCCCUGGAAAUUUGAAUAGGAUGCUUUACAAUAACUAGAUAGGAUCUUUUAUCUUAAGAAAUUGUAUAGAAAAUAUUUGUUGAAAGAUAUACAUUCAGUGAACAGAAUAAAAUCAAGAACACUUGGUGCUUUGAAAACCAUGUCACGGCUGGGCGCGGUGGCUCACGCCUGUAAUCCCAGCACUUUGGGAGGCUGAUGAUUUUGCUUAGUUACAUUCUUAAAACUCCCAAUCAUAAACAAGAAAUACAUGUAAUUAAAAUUUAGAUAAUAAUAUUUAAGACGGUUGUUAUAAAGAACAACUAUAUUACAUAAAAUAUUAAAUUAUACAUUAUUAGAUAAAUACAUUUUUAUUAUGUCAAUCAGGAUUUAGAUUUAUCACUAUUACCUACU